rnacentral:rRNA from 1 species
UAGGGAAUAUUGGACAAUGGGGGCAACCCUGAUCCAGCCAUGCCGCGUGAGUGAAGAAGGCCCUCGGGUUGUAAAGCUCUUUUGUCCGGAAAGAAAAGCUUCGGGUUAAUACCCCGGGGUUCUGACGGUACCGGAAGAAUAAGCACCGGCUAACUUCGUGCCAGCAGCCGCAGUAAUACGAAGGGUGCAAGCGUUACUCGGAAUUACUGGGCGUAAAGCGUGCGUAGGUGGUUGUUUAAGUCUGAUGUGAAAGCCCUGGGCUCAACCUGGGAAUGGCAUUGGAAACUGGGCAGCUAGAGUGCGGUAGAGGGUAGUGGAAUUCCCGGUGUAGCAGUGAAAUGCGUAGAGAUCGGGAGGAACAUCUGUGGCGAAGGCGACUGCCUGGACCAGCACUGACACUGAGGCACGAAAGCGUGGGGAGCAAACA